GUCUUUAAUCUCAGUCAUGGGAGGUUAUUUCUGUGGAGUGACGUUGAUAAUGUCACACCUCCCAGAAAUAAAAAGCUGCCUCAGCCACUCAGUAUAUGUGAUGUGUCUCCUUGUAUCAGAAUCAUGACAAUGGCUCAUAAUCUCGUCAGAUUUACCAUCUCAACUCUGUGGCUACAAGUUCACUGCCAGUAUGUGACUCAACACCCUGCGAUCAGCUGGAGUUAUGUGUCCACAUCUGUGGAGAUGAACUGCAGCCACAACAGAGAUGUCACUCAUAACCAGAUGGACUGGUACAAGCAGCGUCCAGGGGAGAGCAUGACCAUUGUUGUCUAUACAACAUCUGGAGGGAAGCCAGUCAAUCAAACCAAAUAUUCAGCCAUCAAAGACAACAUCGAGAGCGGGGCUCUUACUGUGAAAAACCUGCAGCCCGAGGACAGUGCCGUGUAUUUCUGUGCUGUCAGUAAACACAGUGGUGUGAAAAGUAUGAGCUGCUGAACAAAAACUGAUAAGGUCAUUUGGGGUUUUAAUGAAGACGCAGGUUUUGACUUUCAUAUCUUCACAGUAGGUGGUGCUACAACGCCGCAGAUACUACAGUGAAGAGUCUACAGUGAAACGUUACUUGUCCAUCCGUGUUCAUGAUAUCCCUUUCUUUCUUCUCUAGUAUUUGUAGGCAAUGCAUCUGAUCUGAUUUCAACAACUUGUGUUUCUCCGGAGACUUUAACAUAAAUGCUGUAUAUUAUUUGAGACAAAAAUACUACUUUUUUGAUCACAAACCUAAAUAAAGUUUUCGUUUCUCUUUG